rnacentral:rRNA from 1 species
UACGUAGGUGGCAAGCGUUGUCCGGAUUUACUGGGCGUAAAGCGCACGUAGGCGGAUUGCUAAGUCAGGGGUGAAAUCCUGGAGCUCAACUCCGGAACUGCCUUUUAGACUGCAUCGCUUGAAUCCAGGAGAGGUGAGUGGAAUUCCGAGUGUAGAGGUGAAAUUCGUAGAUAUUCGGAAGAACACCAGUGGCGAAGGCGGCUCACUGGACUGGUAUUGACGCUGAGGUGCGAAAGCGUGGGGAGCAAACAGG